rnacentral:rRNA from 1 species
AUUGAACGCUGGCGGAAUGCUUUACACAUGCAAGUCGAACGGCAGCACGGACUUCGGUCUGGUGGCGAGUGGCGAACGGGUGAGUAAUGUAUCGGAACGUGCCCAGUCGUGGGGGAUAACGUAGUGAAAAUUACGCUAAUACCGCAUACGAUCUAUGGAUGAAAGCGGGGGAUCGCAAGACCUCGCGCGAUGGGAGCGGCCGAAAUCAGAUUAGGGAGUUGGUGGGGUAAAGGCCCACCAAGCCAACGAUCUGUAGCUGGUCUGAGAGGACGGCAAGCCACACUGGCACUGGGCCAGGGUCCAGACUCCUACGGGAGCCCGCAGUGGGGAAUUUUGGACAAUGGGGGAAAGCCUGAUCCAGCCAUUCCGCGUGCAGGAUGACGGCCCUCGGGUUGUAAACUGCUUUUGUACAGCACGAAAAGGUUUCUACUAAUACUAGGAGCUCAUGACGGUACUGUAAGAAUAAGCACCGGCUAACUACGUGCCAGCCGCCGCGGUAA